CUUUUUCUUUCCUUCAAUACACUGAUAGUUGACAGUACCUUCUAGUUACUGAUUACUUCCAUAUUUUCAGAAAUUAACUUGUUAAUUACCUGUUAUGAUGCACAAGGUAGCAUCCUGUCAAAGGGAAGUUUUAUGUGCUAAAUUGUACUUUUUUUUUUUAAUUUUAUUUUUGAUGAUAAGUAGCUUGUACUAGUUUAUUUCGUGAGCAAUUCGUUAAGGCAGUAAGUGUGCUUUCAUCUCAAAGAAAUAGUCAAGGCUAUUGUUGGUGUCCUUUUUGUUAUUAAAUAUAUGUAUAAGUAUGGAUAUUUCUUAUAAAUGAUUAGCUAUUCAGAACAGAAUAUACGUGACCUACUGUAAAAUUCUAGAGUUUCUAUAGACAUUUGGAUCAGACUUUAUUGUUGCUUUAGAACAUAUAUAGUUAUGCUUGAUCUAAUCAUAACAAUAAGAUAUGUGGAUGAAAUAAGUGACAGAAACAUGAAUGCAUCAGACACCAAUUGCACAUAGAUUGCCUUACCAUAUCUGAUGCAAUGUUUUGCCUUAAUCACUACCUUAACUUUCCGCGCCCCCCCCCCCCCCAACCCAAAACCCUCCUCGGGAAUCUGAAAUUUGACAUCAGCACCUAUCCCCUGACACUCAAACCUUAAUAUUAGACUAUUUUAGAUUAAUUUAGGUCCCUAACUUCCUUAGAAACUUGCUGAACUGUUUUGCUUUUGUUGGAAAGCAUAGAACUGCCUGGCCCUUUAUUUCUCCCUUCCUGGCUAUUAUGUGUGAUAUCAAGCGUGAUUUAUCUGACUAUGGCAUUAAUGAACAUUACUCUUAAAGACGAUGCCGGUGAUUCCACCUUUGUGCUUACUAAACCUAUUGGCUGAAACUUCUCGGAUACUUUUGAGGAUUGAAAUGUCUUUUUUUUCCCUUUUGGGUUGGGUUUUUCACGCUGACAAUUCUUUGUCUGAGACUCUAUAUAUUUUCUUAUUAUUCUGCUCUAUGUGUGUCUAUAUGCUUCCAUUGUUGACUAUGAAUAUUACAUGUCUGUGAACAAUUAAGAUUUGUUGCUUCAUAAUUAGGAAUCUCUUAAAUGAGCCUUGCUCUUCAAAUAGGAAUAUUUUAUGUUGUUUCAGUUAGUCACACUUUAUUGGCCCUUACUUUACUUAUAUGUUAGCCUCUUUCGCCAUGUCUAGCAAUUACCUUUUUAAGUACAUUUACCAAUGAGUAUGCAUCCUGAAGGCAAGGUGAAAGGCUAGAAUUAGAACUUUGGUGAUGUGUGUUUACCCAAUACUGCUAAUUCUUGAUUGUCGAACGCAUACUGGAACCACUUUGCAGAACAAACUACUAUAUUAAGAUGUCAAACUACUUAACGCUCUAAGAAGUCACUGUAUGCAACUUGGUAUAACAAGAUGGAACGUAAAACCGAGCAUGGCUAGAAAGCUUGCAAACUAGAAACAGCAAGCAGUCAGAAAUUAGUAGAAAGCUAUCAGGAGACCUUUUAAAGAGUUUCAAUACUCUGGUAAUGUCAAACUUAAAAUUUGAAGGUGUGUUCUACUACUACAAUUUGAUUAUGAUCUUAGUAUGUUGAGUGUGCCCUUGCAAGUGUUACAAUUGUAACGUGUUACGUGACAAUAGCUGCAUGCUUUUCAACUAUAAUUGUUGUUGAGGAACUCGUGUUGUGGUUAAGAUUUUGAAGUGACCAGUAAGAGUUGCGUAGAUUUGUCAAGUAAAUCCCCUUGUGCACAUUCCUGUUUGUCGAGGAUUUUGACUGAGUUUGCUAUACUCCAUGGCUUCCAUUUAUUGUCUUCCCAGGUGUAUCUUCUUACUUAUCCCGGAGGUUAGGCGGAUAGGAAGACUACACCUUGUCGCCUGUGUUGAUAUUCAAUUUUUGGUACCUGAGAUCGUCACUCCAGCUCUUUAACAGAUGCUUUAAUUUAUCACAUAGGAAAGCUAUCUUUUUUUAUAACCGAGAAAUCUCUGAGUGUCUGUGGCAUAUAGUUUGAAACUCUGAAUAAUGGAUUCCCCCUUUUAUAUUUCUCUGAAAUAGCAGCCU